CCAUAUGUGUGGCAGGAUUACGUCAAUUGACAUCCACGAAGAAGAACGGUUUGUUUUCAACAAUGGUUUUUUACGAAGAAGAAACUGCAGAGAGAAACAACCAUUUCCAGUAUGGCUUUUCUCCUUGUGAAAUGCAAGGUGUCCCUGCCCACAGGCAGCAGACUGCAUCUAAGAAGGGUGGCACUGCAGUCAUCCUAAGGUGCUUGCCUCUGGCAUUUGCAGCUUCUCACAGUGAUGGAAGGCUACGAACUCCAAUUCCGAUGCUGGCCACCGCUAUUGUUCUGGCACCUCAAAUGUCUCAGGGUCUACUGUUGACGCCCUGGUUGACUGAUUGUUUCCAAAUGAGUUCAGAUGAAAGAGCAUCAACCUACAUCCUAACCCUUCAUUCUGGCCACAGGUUCUGUCUGACAGACAUGUUAACCGGCCAUUAUAGUUGUCCACAAACGCCCCUCUCGCUGUUUCGGAUGAGCUAGGGGCUUUCCCCAGUGUGUUGUGCCCGGCUAGGGCAAUGGACUCUUUUCACAGUCGCAGGUAAUAAGAAAGCUUUAUCAGUUUUUGUUUACUAUGGUGAAAGUUCUGUGUUAGGGCCUAUAUGACUGGACCCUCACAUUGCAUGGUGUACACUGUUCCCGCAGCAUUUCAGCUGGCCUUUGCCUUUUGCUGUGGUGGCACAUUCUACUGGAGGAGUAACUGCCUGGACGAUUGGAUAGUCUGCCCCAUCCAGGGAACAAGCCACAACGGACACGAGGACCCUCUUGAACCACAUUUGAGUUCUGGGCCUUACCCUAAACAAGGAGAAGAUUCACCUGAACCCUCACGGAAGGUGAUCUACCUCGGGAUGUCCAUAGACUCGACUCUCAUGAGGGCACGUCUCCCUCAAGUGAGAGUAACAAAAUCCUAUCAUACCUCAACCAUUUCCGGGUCGGAGGAGCCAUGUUGGUGUUAAGAGUGCCAACAGUUACUCGGCCUACUGAUGGUGGCUUCACUGUUGGUUUUGCUGGGCAUUCUCCACAUUUAGGCCUAAUUUAACUGAAACAUUUGGUGAUGUUCAAGUUCAAUUCACUGGCACUAUGGAGAAUAGCUUAACCAUACUCAUUGAUAUAUAUAUAUAUAAUAUAUAUACUUUUGGUAAAUUUACGAGGCAUUGCGAGGUACACAUAACCAAGAUUUAGCCUAUGCACAGGUCCGACUGUCUGUCUGCCCCGAUGGGGCCAAGCCCUUUUUGUCCGUCGCUGGCUCGCCUGCUCUUUCUCUUCACUAUGAAAAACGCUAGUGUGUGUUUGGUCUUGGUCUGUUGCGUGUAGAAUAGCUCAGCCUACUCAUUGAUAGCCCCUACUUUAGUGAAUUUACGCAAGACAUUGCCUACAUGUUUUGAUUACCGAUGCAAGGUUCUGACUCAUGUCUAGUGCCUGGCUGGGCCCCUCCCAUUUCUCUUUCUCUCCCUCGCUAGCUUACUCGUUAUUUGUUGUGAAAGAUGCAAUAGUUUCUGUUCAAAAAGUAGCCUACGGCAACUAGUUUCGGGCAUUGGGAAAAAUAAUGAUUCUUAGGAGUUGAGGAGUCGAUUCCUAGCGGAAUCAAAGCUUCACACCAGGAGUCUACGGUCAAGGAGUAGAGGAAUAUAUUAUUUUGGAAUCGAUUCCCCACCACUACCUAGGCUACCAUUUCAGAGUGUAGCAUGAAAAGGGUAUUCAUUCUGUCAAACCAUGCCCUGUGUGUUUUUGAACAAAUAUUAUAUUUACCUCAAAAUAUUAUAUGUACCUCAAAGCCAGUUCUACUGCUUCCCUCUAAUUAGGUACUGAUUUAUACCUGGGACACUGCAGCAUCCGGUUGCUCCGGACAUCAUAGGGUAAGAUUUGAAUACCCCUGGUCUAGAGGUUCAAGUCCUGUUCAACUCAAAUCAAUUUGUUUGUCACAUGCAAAACUAGUUAACAAGCACUGCUCCUUCUUAUUUUGACAGAGAAUGGCAUUGGAGAAGGACAGGGAGGAACCAUUGAGGAAAGCAAAGACAGCUGAGAAUGGGAGAUCCUUCUCCUGGGAGAAAGUGCUUGCAUGGGGAAAGAAGACAGCACCCAGCAUUCUAAGAUGUCUGAGGGCACUGUUCACCAAACCUGAGAGGGUCCGGAGGACCUGAGCCCUAGGACCAUGCCUCAGGACUACCUGGCAUGAUGACUCCUUGCUGUCCCCAGUCCACCUGGCCGUGCUGCUGCUCCAGUUUCAACUGUUCUGCCUGCGGCUAUGGAACCCUGACCUGUUCACCGGACAUGCUACCUGUCCCAGACCUGCUGUUUUCAACUCUCUAGAGACAGCAGGAGCAGUAGAGAUACUCUUAAUGAUCGGCUAUGAAAAGCCAACUGACAUUUACUCCUGGGGUGCUGACUUGUUGCACCCUCGACAACUACUGUGAUUAUUAUUAUUUGACCAUGCUGGUCAUUUAUGAACAUUUGAACAUCUUGGCCAUGUUCUGUUAUAAUCUCCACCCGGCACAGCCAGAAGAGGACUGGCCACCCCUCAUAGCCUGGUUCUCUCUAGGUUUCUUCCUAGGUUUUGGCCUUUCUAGGGAGUUUUUCCUAGCCACCGUGCUUCUACACCUGCAUUGCUUGCUGUUUGGAGUUUUAGGCUGGGUUUCUGUACAGCACUUUGAGAUAUCAGCUGAUGUAAGAAGGGCUAUAUAAAUUUGAUUUGAUUUGAUCUUAACCUUUACACUUGUGGGAAUUGGCCUAUAUGGAUAGGGCUAAAUUUAAAUGUUUCAUACAGAAGAAAUAAGCAAAGCAUGGUAGCAAUUGGAAAGGAACAGUUUGGAGAAUAUGGGAUAGUUAUUAGACCAAAGUUGAGGACACAAUAGUUCACCUGACACAAGACUGAAUCCAAACAAUACACUGUUGAUUUUGUGCAUUUGACAUUCACUGUACUUUUCGCUGCAUUUGUUGAUAACAAAAUCUGAAAAUAUUCUGGAGACAUUCAGUAAUAUGAUAAGAAUAUUCCUGGAGAAUGUGUGGUAGGUGCAACAUAAGACAAAAACAUUACAAGGAUUUGAGUAAGAGGACCAAGUGGCCACACACAUCUCCAAAGUGUGCACAGUUCCCAAGUAAUUUCAAUGCACUUUUAUGACUGGAAGAGUCUUUUUUUUUCAAUUUGUGUUGUUGCUUACCCAAAAACCGCCCAUUAUAAAUUGAAUCUGGGUCAGGUGGAAAGCUUGUUCUAUUGCCUACAUGACUGGCUAAGUUAUAAAAUAUGAUCUUACGGUGUUAGGCUUUCACAGGGCAAUUCAGAUAAAUGUUGGUGCAGAUAGAAAGGAGUCAUGAGUGUGUUCUGAAGCCAAUUUUCUUCACAAUAGACAAACAGUCUAAUUCUGUUCAGAACAAUCCAGGGUAUGACGCCAUGUCAUUCUUGUAACUGUACAUCAAGCAUAGUGAUCAUAAGCGUUGACACUAUAUAUGACAUGAGUUUUGUGAUAUGGAAAUGCGAAGUGCACAUUUGGAUGUUUGGUUUGCUUCUAUGACAUCAAAUUGGUAUUUUUUAUAAUCCUGAACAUCUCAUCUUUCAAAAUAUAGACUUUUAAUUUACAGCAUUUCCCUCACUCCAAUAACAAGAAAUGUGCAAAAGUUGCCCAACUAGCGGGAGGGUUGGUGUCAACUUCUUGUCGCUUCCGGUGCUGAAGUUCAGAACAGCUGUCAGUCAAAACCCAUACAGCGCUGUGAAGCACAGAGCCUGAGCUCUGAUGUCAUUUAUAGCAUGUUACUGUACAGCCACUGCUUUACAUUUUCAACCCGUAUACAGGUACGAGUGUAAAGGGUUACUAAAUCACAGUGGGAGCACAUCAAAGUUAUGAACGAGUAUUCAUCAUUUCUUUGUAUUUGAUCUUCUGUCAUGCUCUAUCCAAAACAGGACGUCAUCAGAGGGCAAGGAUAUCAUCAACCAGAGGACAGAGCUGUUCCUGGCUAUUAUCCUGAAGACUAAUGUGUCUGCAUGUAACAUUGUCCAGUCCUUUCUGGGAUGGGAGUUUUGGAGACAGCGCUGUCCUGAAAGCACAUUUAAAACCCACUACAGCCUGGGGGUGACUAGUUCCAUGUUGCCAGAACUGCAGCAGAAUAUCGUUUGCAUCGGAGCCACAGCCAUUCCCCCAUAUCCAACCGCCACAGGCACAUCGGCAACAGGGGUGCGGAGAACAGAAUGGAAUCAGACAGAGGCAGGAGAAGAGAAGUUUCCUCGACGACUGAACCAUCAAACACAGACCAGACCCCAACCCCUCAGACCUCCAGUCCACAACCCCCUCAGCCAGACACAGACCAGACCCCAACCCCUGAGACCUCCAGUCCACAACCCCCUCAGCCAGACACAGACCCCAACCCCUAAGACCUCCUCUGACCAACCGAAGCCAUGAGUGUCUUUUAAACAACAUAAAAGCUUGCCAGUAUAAUGCAAAAAUGAUCCCUAUGAGGUCAGAAUUACCCGAAUGUUCCUAACCUCUCAUGAAAUGUAUAAAAGCCACAUUCUGUUUUAAUUCUGUAAAAACCCUGAAAGCCAAAAGCCGAAACGCGUUGGUUCCAUUGUCCUCAUGCACCUCAGUUGAUAAGAGAGGUAGCAGAAGAUAUCCCUUCCCUAAUCCCUUAUGUGUCCAUUCAGCAGAAACGUCCCUAAGACAUACAGUACCAGUCAAAAGUUUGGACACACCUACCCAUUCAAGGGAUUUUCUUUAUUUUUACUAUUUUUUACAUUGUAGAAUAGAUAUACAAAAAAUAUAUGAAAUAACACAAAUAGAAUCAUGUUGUAACCAAAAAAAAUCUUAAACAAGUCAAAAUAUAUUUUAGAUUUUAGAUUAUUGAAAGUUGCCAGCCUUUGCUUUGACAGCUUUGCACACUCUUGGCAUUCUCUCAACCAGCUUCAUGAGGAAUGCUUUUCCAACCGUCUUGAAGGAGUUCCUACAUAUUCUAUGCACUUGUUGGCCGCUUUUCCUUCACUCUACGGUCCAACUCAUCCCAAACCAUCUCAAUUGGGUUCAGGUUAGGUGAUUGUGGAGGCCAGGUCAUCUGAUGCAGCACCAUCACUCUCCUCCUUGGUCAAAUAGCCCUUACACAGCCUGGAGGUGUGUUUUGGAUCAUUGUCCUGUUUUAAAACAAGUGAUAGUCCCACAAGCUAGAUGGGAUGGCGUAUCGCUGCAGAAUGCUUUGGUAGCAAUGCGGUCAAGAUUACUACAUUAUUCCAUGUGUUAUUUCAUAGUUUUGAUGUCUUUACUAUUAUUCUACAAUGUAGAAAAUAGUAAAAAUAAAGAAAAACCCUUGAAUGAGUAGAUGUCCAAACUUUUACAUGCUACUGUAUAACGUUCUGCAUCUGACCAACCACAACGUGCAAAGACAGAGGCUACUACAGAGGACAGACGUCAGUGUUUAGUGUUUAGUAAUCCUCUAGUCCUCCAGAUGUCUUUGAACAUCUGCUUAUAAACUAAAAAAUAUGUCUUGCUCUCCUCCUCAUGUACAGGGCCCAGAGUUGUUCCUGCUGAUUAGUAGUGCCCAGAGUCUUUCCUUGACCACAUGACUUGACCAGGAAAAACAUCUGCCCAUGUCUCACUGUUCCCCCAUGUCUCCUCAGGACUUUGCUGGCCCAUUGGAAAACACCCGCUGAAGAACCAAAAGGAAAGACAAUAAAGAAACUUGCUCAAACAUCCCAAAAAAGAACAAUGAACCAUCUUAGAAGCGCAAAACACAAUAGGAAAAUAAAUCACACUGUAGUUGCAAGCCCAAGAAGAGGGGGAUAAACAAAGCUGCCAAAACAGACACAAAGAAUUUGCUCAAAUACCAGCCACAAACAAAGAUUUUCUUUAAACGCCAGACACAAACAAAGAAGUCUCAAAUGCCCCCAAUUAGGUAAGUGAAACAUGGGUUCUCUCUCGCUUACUCACACACACACCAGUGCGCAGUUUACAACGACUCCUGUUUCAAUAUUUUUUUUUACAGAAAUUUUGCUGAAGAAAUGGUUUCUCUUGACAUGUUGUUUUUCUUUUGUAAAGUUAUGUUGGUGAAGAAUGUUUCAUAAAACAAAGUUAGAUUUCCGAACCAAGAGUUGUACAUAGAUACUGUAUGUCUACAUUUGUUUUCUAUUAAAAAAGUAUCUCAAA